rnacentral:rRNA from 1 species
UACGUAGGUUGCAAGCGUUGUCCGGAUUUACUGGGCGUAAAGAGCGCGCAGGCGGUCGUUCAAGUCGAGUGUGAAAGCCCCCGGCUCAACUGGGGAGGGUCACUCGAUACUGUUCGACUCGAAGGCAGAAGGGGAAGCGGAAUUCCCGGUGUAGUGGUGAAAUGCGUAGAUAUCGGGAGGAACACCAGUGGCGAAGGCGGCUUUCUGGUCUGCUAUUGACGCUGAGGCGCGAAAGCUAGGGUAGCAAACGGG